UAAUACGAAGGGGGCUAGCGUUGUUCGGAAUUACUGGGCGUAAAGCGCGCGCAGGCGGCUCUUCAAGUCAGGGGUGAAAGCCCAGAGCUCAACUCUGGAACUGCCUUUGAGACUGUAGAGCUUGAGUACGGGAGAGGUGAGUGGAAUUCCCAGUGUAGAGGUGAAAUUCGUAGAUAUUGGGAAGAACACCGGUGGCGAAGGCGGCUCACUGGCCCGUUUCUGACGCUCAGGCGCGACAGCGUGGGGAUCAAACAGGAUUAGAUACCCUGGUAGUCCACGCCGUAAACUAUGAACGCUAGCCGUUGGCAGGCUUGCCUGUCAGUGGCGCAGCUAACGCAUUAAGCGUUCCGCCUGGGGAGUACGGCCGCAAGGUUG
rnacentral:rRNA from 1 species